UCACACAGCAGACAGGUGGCAGAGCUGGAAUUAGAACCCAGGUCCUCUGAGUUCCAGGCCCUUGCCGGUGACAGGAGAUCCCUAUUGGAAUUGGGGGUUCACAAUUGGUAUUCAAACUGCAUUGCAAGUAGUCCUCGAACAAGCCAGUUUUCAAAACCAAUAAGUGCAAGUCAAAAUGUUAAGUUGGCAUUUUUUUUUCCCCAGAUGAACAAUGUUAUAGAUGGGAUGGCCUAUUUUUACCAAAAUUACCCAGAGUUGUAUACUCAGAGGAGAAAUAUAGCUCUUAUUGUAUGCUACUUUUAGAGAGGUACUGUAAUUGAAAACUAUUAAGUGCACUAACCAAUGCCCUUAACCUUGCAGAAAUAAAAUAUGUUGCCCAUCCCUGGUGACUCCACCUGGCCUUCAGGAAAGGAUCCUGUGCCAAUGGCAGCUUGAAAAUUUGGGGGAGGAGCUUGUUUUUCAGAAAUCCAUACAUUCCCAACCUCAGAUUCCAAGUCUCAAAAGCCUCGCUCAAAUGACAAGGUUAAAAGGAGAAUGGAUUUUAGAGUAAAAGUUGACCAUUCUACUAUUGAGGGGAAACAUGAGAAGCACAGAAGUUUAGCU